AUUGAACGCUGGCUGCAGGCCUAACACAUGCAAGUCGAACGAGUGGCGGACGGGUGAGUAAUGUCUGGGACACUGCCUGCUGGAGGGGGAUAACUACUGGAAACGGUAGCUAAUACCGCAUACCAUCAGAUGUGCCCAGAUGGGAUUAGUUAGUUGGUGGGGUAACGGAUCACCAAGGCGACGAUCCCUAGCUGGGCUGAGAGGAUGACCAGCAACACUGGAACUGAGACACGGCACAGACUACUAUGGGACGCAGCAGUGGGGAAUAUUGCACAAUGGGCGGAAGCCUGAUGCAGACAUGCCGCGUGUAUGAAGAAGGCCAUCGGGUUGUAAAGUACUUUCAGCGGGGAGGCGUUACUCGCAGAAGAAGCAACGGCUAACUCCGUGCCAGCAGCCGCGGUAAUAC
rnacentral:rRNA from 1 species